AGUGAACGCUGGCGGUAGGCCUAACACAUGCAAGUCGAACGGCAGCACAGUAAUAGCUUGCUCUUACGGGUGUCGCGUGUCGGACGGUUGAGGAAUACAUCGGAUUCUACUUUUUCGUGGGUGAUAACGUAGGGAAACUUACGCUAAUACCGCAUACGACGUACGUGUGAAAGCAGGGGUUCUUCGGACCUUUCGCGAUUGAAUGAGCCGAUCUCGGACUAGCUAGUUGGCGGGGUAAAGGCCCACCAAGGCGACGAUCCGUAGCUGGUCUGAGGGGGUGAUUCGCCAGCUUGGAACUGAGAAAGGGUCCAGACUCCUACAGGAGGACACAGUGCGGACUCUUGGGCAAGGGGGCAGAGCCUGAUCCAGCCAUACCGCGUGGGUGAAGAAGCCCUUCGGCUUGUAAAGCCAUUUUGUUGGGAAAGAAAAGCAGCAGGUUAAUACCCCGCUGUUCUGACGGUACCCAAAGAAUAAGCCCCGGCUAACUUCGUG
rnacentral:rRNA from 1 species